CCCGACCCCGCACUCACCCGCGCGGGUCUGGGUCGGGGCCAGGGCGGCCGCCAGCAGCAGGAGCAGCGUGCGCGGCGCCAUCGCCCCCAUCUCGGAUCUGUGGAGACUCUGGGUUCCGCGGUCUGCGUGGACUUUAUAACCGGUGACCGCGGCGAUGCUGGUUGGUUCCCCGGGAUCUCGUCACCCAAUAGGGGUGAGAACCGCCGAAUUGUCAUCAGUGUCCGGGCAGAAGGACCCGACCCAGGUUAGGAGCUGGAGAAGUGAAACUGGGGACAGGGGAAUCCCCAGCCCUGGGCUUCCCCACCCACACCUCACCCUCCUGGGGACCAAGACUUUGCCUGAGCCCUGUGCUGCGGGAUGGAGCGCUGUGUGUCGUGGGGUCUCUGAGCCGCCUAAGGACAACUGCUCCUCAGGUUCGUCAGGAUGAAACCUAAGAGCAUGAAGUUUCCAGGAAGAAGGCCCUGCUCACCUCUGCUUUCACUUUCUACUUCAGUUGUGUGUGGCUGCGAUUUGAAGACAGCAAGUAAAAAAAUUCCAGAGAAACAAAAAAUUAAUAAAUUUAAUUUUUCUUCACACUAUUGAACCGAAUGUGACCGAGACUAUCCAGUGUGUAUUGUGUCGUGAGAAUGACCCUCUGUCCACAGUCUACAUGAAUGAGGAACUCAGAAGUCAACUGUUAUCAGAUCCAGUGUCCCACAGGCCUGUGACGUUCAUCUCUCUCUUCUCAUCAGCUCAUAAAGUGAGAGCGAAGGUGGGGGGGGGGAGAUAUUAUGUAACUAUCAUUUUAUUCUGCUUUAUAUUUAGUUACUCUUAACUCUUACUUACUGUGGUUUAUUCCCUAAAGCAACUGUACCAUGGAAGUGUGUGCACACAGGUAAACGUGGAGUGUAGACAGGGUCAGUGCCCUGCUGUAUUUGGUCUCCACAGGGGUCUCUUCCCAUGGAGAAGGGGUCUACUGUGCUGAGACAAUGACCCAGGUCCACACGGACAAUCUCAGGACUAUGGAAUGAAGAUCCAUGUAAAACACAAGCACCUGGAGCCACAGAUGAUCAUCUGGGAAGAAACACUAAGAGUCUGAGUGUAAGCACAGGCUGUGAAGACACGAUCCUGAGUGAAGAGGCAAAGUCUCUGUUUACAGUGUUCUGCCUGCACGUAUGCCUG